AGAAUAUGCCAUGUGAUUUUUCAACUUUUAGAUUUAACAUUCUAAAUUGUUUCUACAUAUGUCAUCUAUGUACAUCUGCAUCACUUCUCACACGAAUUUUUAUCUCGACCCGCUUCGACAGAGCAACACAUCGCACGAGGCAGGGUGUGCGAACGAGAGAGAAUGAUUUUUUUCAUUCCGGCUAUAAUAAUCCAAUCUGACCCCAAUUCGGGAAACUCAUAGAUAUGGACAUUCUCUACCGAACUGCGUUUCUGGUUUUCCCUUAUCUUUAAAAUUGCGGAUGCCACAUAUUAUCCUUUGUGUGAUUGGAAGGGCGGGGCU
rnacentral:lncRNA from 1 species